rnacentral:lncRNA from 1 species
UUCGAGCUGACUCUAUUGCUUUCUCACCCCCAAGGGUCCUUGGCUUCCCCAGUUAGUUCUCCUUCUGUGUCCACUGACCAUUGAGUAGAAAUUUUCUGAUUUUGCGGCGAGUCUGGUUUACUCAACUGCAAAUUAUUCAAUGAGGCAGGUGCUGCAUCAGCCACAAGAGGAGCACUUGGUGGGCACUGCAAAUUAUUCAUGGAGGCAGGUGCUGCAGCAGCCACAAGAGGAGCACUCGGUGGACCAUGUCGUUUCUUCGGCACAGGAGUGUCAUGAUCAUGUACACCCUUGUAAGUUAUGAUGACAGCAUCUGAGCUGUCCACGGCAGUCUCAACGUGCUUUCGAACAGGACAUCC